CAGCAGCCGCGGUAAUACGGAGGGUGCAAGCGUUAUCCGGAUUCACUGGGUUUAAAGGGUGCGUAGGCGGAACAGAAAGUCCGUUGUGAAAUCUCCGAGCUUAACUCGGAAAUUGCGGUGGAUACUAUUGUUCUUGAAUACUGUUGAGGUUAGCGGAAUAUGUCAUGUAGCGGUGAAAUGCAUAGAUAUGACAUAGAACACCAAUUGCGAAGGCAGCUGGCUAAACAGAUAUUGACGCUGAGGCACGAAAGCGUGGGGAUCAAACAGGAUUAGAUACCCUGGUAGUCCACGCCCUAAACGAUGAUUACUCGACAUUUGCGAUACACAGCAAGUGUCUGAGCGAAAGCAUUAAGUAAUCCACAUGGGAAGUACGACCGCAAGGUUGAAACUCAAAGGAAUUGACGG
rnacentral:rRNA from 1 species